GAAAUGCGAUAAGUAGUGUGAAUUGCAGAAUUCAGUGAAUCAUCGAAUCUUUGAACGCACAUUGCGCCCCUCGGUAUUCCGUGGGGCAUGCCUGUUCGAGCGUCAUUUACACCCUCAAGCUUUGCUUGGUGUUGGGCGUCUGUCUCCCCCCCCGUUUUUCCCGGGGGAGGGACUCGCCCCAAAGGUAUUGGCAGCGGUCCUGUCAGGCCUUCCUAAUCGCGCAGCACUGUUCGCGCCUCUUGGAGCCUGUACGGAUUCUCAGCUCAUCCAUGAAGCGUCCAAAUUUUGUUUUCAAACUUGACCUCGAAUCAGGUAGGGAUACCCGCUGAACUUAAGC
rnacentral:misc_RNA from 1 species